GAGAAAUAUUAGGAUCAUAUUGUAUUUGAUAUAUAUAUAAAUUUCGGGUUGUAACCCAUAUUUUUUUCUCCUUCAUUUUAUUAUUUUAUAUUCGAGUUAGCAAUUCGUAAAUUGUGUAACUCCUACAUAAAAUGCGUGUUCUGGUCCCCGGAUGAACAUAUAGUUUAAAAAGUACGAACGUGUAGUUCAAAAAUUACGAGUACCUCUGGAAGCUUUACCUCCUCAAUCUCAUAAACUUAGUAAGUUGAUGAAGAAAUUGGAUGAGCUUGAAAUUAAAGGUCACGACCCUGAAGAAGGCAAAUAUAAUAACUUGUUGUGCCCAAUGAAGGAUUUGAACGUGUUGGUUGUGGUUCUACUUGCUGUCAAUAUUAGGCUCCUCCUAGAAUUUAAGGUCUCCGUUGUACUACAGUUCUGGUGUGCUCUGGGGUAUUUGCGACAUUGCUGCUCAGUACAUCACUCAUUCCACUGCACAUAAACGUCUUCAAGUUUUGUCGGUCAUUUCUGGUGUGUUUGCCGUGUCUUCCUCUUUGGUGCAGCAAGACAGUGAAUUGAUUUCUCAUAGCCAUGAUAUCCUGCUUUCAUGCAGAUUGCUUCUGUGCAUUUGUUACUGUUGUUUCAGUUUUGUGCUUCCCUUUUGAUGCUUCUAGUUAUUUUGGUUGGAUGCUGAUUAAUGAUGAUUCAGGUGGAAAAGCUAACAAUUAGAUCAAGAUAUUGAAGCUCCGAUCUCAAUCACAGGGAUUUAGGAAUAAAUAGUUUUUUUUAUGUUAAAGGAACAAAUGCUAUGUUAGUUUGAUAGUCAUAAGAAGUUAUUUUUACUUCUAGUGUGAUUUGAUAAGGCAAAAAUUUGAUGUAUGGAUAUAUAAUAUAGGAUCCUAUUGUUAUUUUGGUAUGUUCUUAACUAGUUUGAUUAUUGGA